GCCGUAGCCCGCAUUCGUCCCCAACAAAAGAGCUUUACACCCCUAGGGGCUUCAUCACUCACGCGGCGUCGCUGCGUCAGGCUUUCGCCCAUUGCGCAAGAUUCCUCACUGCUGCCUCCCGUAGGAGUCUGGGCCGUAUCUCAGUCCCAGUGUGGCUGGUCGUCCUCUCAGACCAGCUACCCAUCGUCGCCUUGGUGGGCCGUUACCCCGCCAACAAGCUAAUAGGACGCAGACCCAUCCUCGAGCGCCUUUCGGCUUUGAUCCGUCCCACUUAUGUAGGUCGGAUAACAUGCGGUAUUAGACCCGGUUUCCCGAGCUUGUCCCCCACUCGAGGGCAGGUUGUCUACGCGUUACUCACCCGUCCGCCACGCUACUAAGGGCUCCCUUGCGGGAACCCCUUCGCGUUCGACUUGCAUGUGUUAAGCGCGCCGCUAGCGUUCGUCCUGAGCCAUGAUCAAACUCUAAUCGAAUUCCCGCGGCGCCAUGGCGGSCGGGAGCAUGCGACGUCGGGCCCAAUUCGCCCUAUAGKGAGUCGUAUUACAAUUCACUGGCCCGYSGUUUUACA
rnacentral:rRNA from 1 species